AGCGAACGCUGGCGGCGUGCUUAACACAUGCAAGUCGAACGAUGAACUUGGAGCUUGCUCUGGGGGAUUAGUGGCGAACGGGUGAGUAACACGUGAGUAACCUGCCCUGGACUCUGGAAUAACUUCGAGAAAUCGGAGCUAAUACCGGAUAGGACCUUGCACCGCAUGGUGUGGGGUGGAAAGUUUUUCGGUUUGGGAUGGACUCGCGGCCUAUCAGCUUGUUGGUGAGGUAAUGGCUCGCCAAGGCGUCGACGGGUAGCCGGCCUGAGAGGGUGACCGGCCACACUGGGACUGAGACACGGCCCAGACUCCUACGGGAGGCAGCAGUGGGGAAUAUUGCACAAUGGGCGCAAGCCUGAUGCAGCAACGCCGCGUGCGGGAUGACGGCCUUCGGGUUGUAAACCGCUUUUAGUAGGGAAGAAGCCUUCGGGUGACGGUACCUGCAGAAAAAGGACCGGCUAACUACGUGCCAGCCGCCGCGGUAAGAC
rnacentral:rRNA from 1 species